rnacentral:piRNA from 1 species
UGUAUAAAACGGUCUCAACUCUGUUCAAGUC